rnacentral:rRNA from 1 species
UACGAAGGGGGCUAGCGUUGUUCGGAAUUACUGGGCGUAAAGGGCGCGCAGGCGGCCCUCCAAGUCAGGCGUGAAAGCCCCGGGCUCAACCCGGGAACAGCGCUUGAGACUGGGGGGCUUGAGUUCGGGAGAGGAGAGUGGAAUUCCCAGUGUAGAGGUGAAAUUCGUAGAUAUUGGGAAGAACACCGGUGGCGAAGGCGGCUCUCUGGACCGACACUGACGCUGAGGCGCGACAGCGUGGGGAGCAAACAGG